rnacentral:pre_miRNA from 2 species
CCUUAUGGCUGAGCAAAGAAAGUGGUUUCUUGAAAUAGAAUCUACCCUUGCUGAAGUGCUGUGAA